AGAGUUUGAUCCUGGCUCAGAAUAAACGCUGGCGGCGUGCUUAACACAUGCAAGUCGAGCGAGAAAGGUCUUCGGACUGAGUACAGCGGCAAACGGGUGAGUAACGCGUGGGAAUCUACCUUUUAGUGGAGAACACCCUCGAGAAAUCGAGGUUAAUACUGCAUAAGUCUCGAAAGAGAGAAAGAUGGCCUCUUUGCUAU
rnacentral:rRNA from 1 species